rnacentral:ncRNA from 1 species
ACAUAGGGGAGCUUGUAAACAGGCUGAGAGGAAGGUGUGACCUUCGACCCAUAGACCUGAUUUGGAUAAUGCCAACGUAGGGAAAAAAUAUUGU